CAAUUAACUUUUAUUAUUUUAAGUUUUUAACAAUUUUAUUUUUUUCGCAAUUUUGUUAAAUAUACAAAUUGAUCAUUGCAACAAUUUCAAUUUUAAAAAUCCUUACAAUAUUUCGAUAAAGGUAUAAACAAAUUAUACUUAUUUCAAACUAUAAUUUAUUAUUUUAAAAAUCAAUAAUACAUUUUUUUUUUUAAGUACAAAAAUACUUUGAAUUUUUUUAAUGGAACUAUAAUUUUCUUUUUAUAAAUGAUAAAUUGAAGUGGAUGAUUAUUCACAUAACAAUAGUAGGAACAAAAAACUUCUUCAUAAAUCCGAGAACUUUUCUAAAGGCAUUCAAGUGAACUAUGAAAAGAUUUUUGUUUCUGAGGGAGUUUUCUGUUGUUAUUGAUAACUUAAAGACGAUGUCAAUAUUAAUAUGGAUAGUUGAGCUUAGAUAAAGUCUUUUUUUUAUAGAACUUAAAUAAAGUCAUAUCCUUAUCUAAAUAAUUAUCUAGAUUUUAUAUAUAGGUAACGACAAAUGGUAUGUAUAGAAAAAAAUAAUGUUGAAUAAACAACAUCAAUUUAGUUAAAAUUUAUUUUAUUAAUUCUAUUUUAUUAUUAAUUGAUCAACACGCCAUGCUUUUCUUUUACAAAUUCAAAUGAAAAUUUAAUAACGUUACAGAUGAAUCAAUAGCAUAUGUUUGUGGCAGCCCGUGAUAUUGACUCAAAUUCAAUUGAUUCAACAAUGUUUUUUUUCUCAGUCCGAUUAUGGAGACUAAUGAGCUUAUCAAAUUUGUGUUUUGUGACACGUGAAAUCGAAAUUCUAAAUUAUUCCGUGAAAAAAAACGUAUGAAAGAAUUUAACCACAGAUAUUUUAGACUUAAAAAGAAAAAAUAAUAUGCUAACGCGAUAGAAAAAUAAUACAAUGUAAUAAAAUAUGAAGACAAUAAAAAUCUAAUAAUAAUGAUAAUAAUAAAUUGCAUUUAAAAAUCUCAAGAGUGACAGUACCGAUUUUAUUCAAAUUGAUCGAAAAUUAAAAGCUCGUAUCGAUAUUAUUAAACGCUAUCUUAAAUUUUUAUCUUUAUACAUAUAUUGAUAUAUUAAUGUUAUAAAUUUAUUAAUGUUAUAAAUUUAUAUAAUAUUUAGAUAAUAAAGUAAUGUAUACUUAAUCAACUUUGCCGCGAAUUUCUUCUAAAUUAUUGACAUUCCCAUUUUGUUAUAAAGCUUUAUUGCACGGAAGAUGCAUGGCUUCCGAUUUUAAUUUUCUUUAUUUACUUUUUAUCACAUUUUUUAAUCAUAUACUCCAAGUAUAAAGCGCGUUCUUAAGUAAUAAAUUCAAUAGCGGGCUUUAUUUAAAAAAUUGGUUUAAAAACGUUGAAAAUUAGCAACAUUAACUGUCGUGUUCAAUUUAAUACGGAUCAAUCCGUGACAUCCAAAAAUCUCCGAAUUUGUGGAGAUGAGAUCCUGUAGAUUUUAAUGUGCAAAUUAAUAUACUCGAGUUCUCAAAUAAAUUUUGAUAUACUUUCAAACGACUUUAACUGAACGAAACAUAUAUAGUUUAUAAAUAAAAAUAAACAAGAGUUGUAAUAUUUAAACACGUUGGCGCAGCGAUGCGAUUGCAUCGCAAUUUUUACUCGCGACUCCGAUUUAUUUAUUCGUUCAGCAAUCAUGGCCGAGUCAAAAUAUUAUUCUGAAUGGCCUCGUUGUGUUUUGCUACCAUUUGGAAAAAGUAUAGCGAUAAUAAUAAUAAUAAUAAUAAUAAUAAUAAUAAUAAUAAUAAUAAUUCGUUCUCCGGAGAACACGAGUCGAUAAACGGCGCGCAUCUGCAACGUCCCGACGCCGCUCGUCGUCGGCGUCGCGUAUUGACCGCGGGGAUAACGAUAAUUGUAUUGUCGCGUCGCUUGACGACGACUACACGACGACGAGCGAAAUCAUCAACGUGAGCGUAAUAAUCGUAAUGCCGACAAUAGGCGACGCACAAAGGGAAUUAGACACCCAUGCACACACCGCGCGCGGAAGCGCGUUCGCGCGCGGCGCGGGCGCCGGCGUCGGCGUCGGCGUCGCCCGGCGCCGAUGCCCGCGCGCAUGCCUCCCCGUGUCACCUCCGCGAGGACGUCCGGGUUGGCUCCUCUCUAAUUACAUCGAUCCCCGACCGCCCACCCGAUUGGUCCAGCAUCCAGAAUCCGCGCCUCCUCCGCUCGCUCCGCCGCCGUCGUCGCCAGAGUGCAGGUAAAUCUCAUGCGAACGUGAAACAAUCAGAUCAUCCGGGAAACGCCGACGGGGGUGGUGGUACGAGGGACAGAGAGAGAAAGAGAGAGAGAGAGAGAGAGAGGAGCGCGGGGUCCAUGGAUGCUGGGAUGUUGCGGAGUGUUGCCCAAGUUUUUUAGCCGCCGAGCGUUUAAUAGCCGGGGCUUUACAGAAGCUUGUUGCCGCGGUUGUUGUUGUUUCUGUUCCGUUGCUGCUUGAUCUCGCUUGAUCUUUUUUGAGAAAUAGAACGGCAAUGCAUAAAACAUAAUUUCUUCUAUGGAUUCUGAAUUUGACAAUAAAUUCUAGCAAAUACAAAUUAAAAAGAGAAAUUUUUUUUUUCCGAAAAAUCAAUUCCGAAUUGUGGAAAAAUACCCGUCAUAAAAAGUAAUCUGCCAUAUUGACUAAAAUAUUAACCAUAAAACAAUAAUACAAAUAAAAUAGGACAUCCUAUUAAAGGAUCACUGCAGUACGGUCGCUGAACAACCAACCCAGUAAUAAAAAUUUUUUUUAAUAUUGAAAAAAUAAAUCGACCUCUUUUAGAUCUAAAUUUCAUGCAGUUUUGAUUAAAAUUAUCACUUUAUACUUGAACGUGUAAUUAUAUUGAAUAAAAAGGAAAAAUAUGUGUAUUAUUUUAUUGAAUAUAUCUAUAACAACAAUUUAUUACGAGCAAAAUGAAGUGCAUUAAAGAAAACAAAAAGAGAUAGUAUAUAGAAAAUAAUGCUUCAAUCAAAGAUUAGAAUCGAAGGGGAAAUAUUUGAAUGCCGACGGGUAAUAAUAAUCGGGAUUCAUCAGAGAACGCAUCGUUUCAUUGCAAGAAAAUUGAGAAUAGAAUGAACUCACAGCAAUCCCGCUGUUCACGUUAAACCACGCGCGUUCCCUUUUUUUUUUCAUUCUUAUUCGCGAAAACCCCCUUUCAUUUCUUCGCGGAGCAACGCAUGAUUGGUAUUCGCGAUCAUUAGAGCAACUUAUACUUUUUUUUUCUUCUAUUGUUCCUGUUCUAUUGAUAUGUAUUUAUAAAACGUGCUUUCUCAUUUGAAAAAUCAAAAAAUGAAACAGUUGCAGAAACAUUGCACUGUAUUAAUAUUGAUAAAAAACAUGAUCUGCUUUUAUAGAUAAUUAAAGAAAUAAAAACCUACAGUUCAUAUUCAUGCUUUUUGUCUAUAUAAAAUCUCUCUAUAAAAACGGAUUUAAUCUAAUUUUUAUAUAGCGUUAUAUGUUCCAGAACAGCAUAACAUUUAUAUAAUCGACAAUGAAAUAUUUUACAUCGAAAUGAAAAGCUUCUAGGAAUUCUGCAUUAACUUGUAAAUAUUUUGUGCAAACGACUCAUGUUAAGGGAAAAAAAAGAAAAAAAAA